rnacentral:rRNA from 1 species
UACAGAGACUGCAAGCGUUAUUCGGAUUCACUGGGCGUAAAGGGUGCGCAGGCGGCCGUGUGUGUGAGGCGUGAAAGCCCGGGGCUUAACCCCGGAAUUGCACCUCAAACUACACGGCUAGAGCAUUGGAGAGGGUAGCAGAAUUCAUGGUGUAGCAGUGAAAUGCGUAGAUAUCAUGAGGAAUACCUAUUGCGAAGGCAGCUCGCUGGGACGUAACUGACGCUGAGACGCGAAAGCGUGGGGAGCAAACAGG